rnacentral:rRNA from 1 species
GNCCUAACACAUUNCAAAGUCGAGCGGAUGAAGGGAGCUUNGCUCCCGGAUUCAGCGGCGGACGGGUGAGUAAUGCCUAGGAAUCUGCCCUGGUAGUGGGGGACAAACGUUCNGAAAGGNGCGCUAAUACCGCAUACGUCCUACGGGAGAAAGUGGGGGAUCUUCGGACCUCACGCUAUCAGAUGAGCCUAGGUCGGAUUAGCUAGUAGGUGGGGUAAUGGCUCACCUAGGCGACGAUCCGUAACUGGUCUGAGAGGAUGAUCAGUCACACUGGAACUGAGACACGGUCCAGACUCCUACGGGAGGCAGCAGUGGGGAAUAUUGGACAAUGGGCGAAAGCCUGAUCCAGCCAUGCCGCGUGUGUGAAGAAGGUCUUCGGAUUGUAAAGCACUUUAAGUUGGGAGGAAGGGCAGUAAGUUAAUACCUUGCUGUUUUGACGUUACCAACAGAAUAAGCACCGGCUAACUUCGUGCCAGCAGCCGCGGUAAUACGAAGGGUGCAAGCGUUAAUCGGAAUUACUGGGCGUAAAGCGCGCGUAGGUGGUUUGGUAAGAUGGAUGUGAAAUCCCCGGGCUCAACCUGGGAACUGCAUCCAUAACUGCCUGACUAGAGUACGGUAGAGGGUGGUGGAAUUUCCUGUGUAGCGGUGAAAUGCGUAGAUAUAGGAAGGAACACCAGUGGCGAAGGCGACCACCUGGACUGAUACUGACACUGAGGUGCGAAAGCGUGGG